rnacentral:rRNA from 1 species
AACGAACGCUGGCGGCAUGCCUAACACAUGCAAGUCGAACGAGACCUUCGGGUCUAGUGGCGCACGGGUGCGUAACGCGUGGGAACCUGCCCUUAGGUUCGGAAUAACUCCCCGAAAGGGGUGCUAAUACCGGAUAAUGUCUUCGGACCAAAGAUUUAUCGCCUUUGGAUGGGCCCGCGUUGGAUUAGCUAGUUGGUAGGGUAAAAGCCUACCAAGGCGACGAUCCAUAGCUGGUCUGAGAGGAUGAUCAGCCACACUGGGACUGAGACACGGCCCAGACUCCGACGGGAGGCAGCAGUGGGGAAUAUGGGACAAUGGGCGAAAGCCUGAGCCAGCAAUGCCGCGUGAGUGAUGAAGGCCUUAGGGUUGUAAAGCUCUUUUACCCGGGAUGAUAAUGACAGUACCGGGAGAAUAAGCUCCGGCUAACUCCGG